rnacentral:rRNA from 1 species
CAGUCGAGCGAACUGAUGAAGAGCUUGCUUUUGAUCAGUUAGCGGCGGACGGCUGAGUAACACGUGGGUAACCUGCCUGUAAGACUAGGAUAACUCCAGGAAACCGGGGCUAAUACUAGAUAACUUUUCUCUCCGCAUGGAGAGAGAUUGAAAGAUGGCUUCGGCUAUCACUUACAGAUGGACCCGCGGCGCAUUAGCUAGUUGGUGAGGUAACGGCUCACCAAGGCAACGAUGCGUAGCCGACCUGAGAGGGUGAUCGGCCACAUUGGGACUGAGACACGGCCCAAACUCCUACGGGAGGCAGCAGUAGGGAAUCUUCCGCAAUGGACGAAAGUCUGACGGAGCAACGCCGCGUGAGUGAAGAAGGUCUUCGGAUCGUAAAACUCUGUUGUUAGGGAAGAACAAGUAUCGUUCGAAUAGGGCGGUACCUUGACGGUACCUAACCAGAAAGCCACGGCUAACUACGUGCCAGCAGCCGCGGUAAUACGUAGGUGGCAAGCGUUGUCCGGAAUUAUUGGGCGUAAAGCGCGCGCAGGCGGUCUUUUAAGUCUGAUGUGAAAGCCCACGGCUCAACCGUGGAGGGUCAUUGGAAACUGGAAGACUUGAGUGCAGAAGAGGAGAGUGGAAUUCCACGUGUAGCGGUGAAAUGCGUAGAGAUGUGGAGGAACACCAGUGGCGAAGGCGACUCUCUGGUCUGUAACUGACGCUGAGGCGCGAAAGCGUGGGGAGCAAACAGGAUUAGAUACCCUGGUAGUCCACGCCGUAGACGAUGAGUGCUAAGUGUUAGAGGGUUU